GGCGGUUCUCUGGUGACACAACCGGAAUUAGGCUCCCUCCUCCCUGGUUUUAGGUGCAUCGCCCAAGAACCACC
rfam:Myotis lucifugus cont2.1250, whole genome shotgun sequence.